rnacentral:misc_RNA from 1 species
GGUCGCUGGACGCUGGACGCUGGGGUUUUUCUCCACCAGUUAUCAUGUGGUCUUUCCGACGAGCUGCUUUGCCUCUCAAGCUACAUGGUCCUUCUUGGUUUGGGCUGACCAGAGUGAUCUCAGCUAAAUCAGAUCUAAUGAGUUUUUCUGUGGGGGACAUAACUGGUACGUGCACACUUGAAAAUUUGAUACCUGGUAGGUGCAGUUCAUCAAAGGGGUUU